UCCGGGGUAACUCAAUCGGCAGAGUGCUCGGCUGUUAACCGAGAUGUUGUGGGUUCGAGUCCCACCCCCGGAG
rnacentral:tRNA from 1 species